GACGAACGCUGGCGGCGUGCUUAACACAUGCAAGUCGAACGAUGAACCCGGAGCUUGCUCCGGCGGAUUAGUGGCGAACGGGUGAGUAACACGUGAGUAACCUGCCCUUGACUCUGGGAUAACUGCGGGAAACUGUAGCUAAUACCGGAUACGACCCUCGGCGGCAUCGCCAGGGGGUGGGAAGAAUUUCGGUCAAGGAUGGACUCGCGGCCUAUCAGCUAGUUGGUGAGGUAACGGCUCACCAAGGCGACGACGGGUAGCCGGCCUGAGAGGGGGAGCGGCCACACGGUGACUGAGAAACGGGCCAGACUCCUACGGGGGGCAGCAGUUGGGAAUAUUGCACAAUGGGCGCAAGCCUGAUGCAGCAACGCCGCGUGAGGGAUGACGGCCUUCGGGUUGUAAACCUCUUUUAGUAGGGAAGAAGCGAAAGUGACGGUACCUGCGGAAAAAGCACCGGCUAACUACGUGCCAGCCGCCGCGGUAA
rnacentral:rRNA from 1 species